GAUGAACGCUGGCGGCGUGCCUAAUACAUGCAAGUCGAGCGAACGGACGAGAAGCUUGCUUCUCUGAUGUUAGCGGCGGACGGGUGAGUAACACGUGGAUAACCUACCUAUAAGACUGGGAUAACUUCGGGAAACCGGAGCUAAUACCGGAUAAUAUUUUGAACCGCAUGGUUCAAAAGUGAAAGACGGUCUUGCUGUCACUUAUAGAUGGAUCCGCGCUGCAUUAGCUAGUUGGUAAGGUAACGGCUUACCAAGGCAACGAUGCAUAGCCGACCUGAGAGGGUGAUCGGCCACACUGGAACUGGGACACGGUCCAGACUCCUACGGGAGGCAGCAGUAGGGAAUCUUCCGCAAUGGGCUAAAGCCUGACGGAGCAACGCCGCGUGAGUGAUGAAGGUCUUCGGAUCGUAAAACUCUGUUAUUAGGGAAGAACAUAUGUGUAAGUAACUGUGCACAUCUUGACGGUACCUAAUCAGAAAGCCACGGCUAACUACGUG
rnacentral:rRNA from 1 species